rnacentral:tRNA from 1 species
GCGGGCGUAAUUCAGCGGUAGAAUGCAAGCUUCCCAAGCUUGACGUCGAGGGUUCGACUCCCUUCGCCCGCUCCA